GUCUACGGCCAUACCACCCUGAACGCGCCCGAUCUUCGUCUGAUCUCGAAGCUAAGCAGGGUCGGGCCCGGUUAGUACUUGGAUGGGAGACCGCCUGGGAAUACCGGGUGCUGUAGGCU
rnacentral:rRNA from 1 species